rnacentral:rRNA from 1 species
GAAUCUGCCCUCAGGAGGGGGAUAACGGCUGGAAACGACCGCUAAUACCCCAUAUGCCGAGAGGUGAAACGAAAUUCGCCUGAGGAUGAGCCCGCGUCUGAUUAGCUAGUUGGUGGGGUAAGGGCCUACCAAGGCAUCGAUCAGUAGCUGGUCUGAGAGGAUGAUCAGCCACACUGGGACUGAGACACGGCCCAGACUCCUACGGGAGGCAGCAGUGGGGAAUUUUCCGCAAUGGGCGCAAGCCUGACGGAGCAACGCCGCGUGAGGGAUGAAGGCCUCUGGGCUGUAAACCUCUUUUCUCAAGGAAGAAGAACUGACGGUACUUGAGGAAUAAGCCACGGCUAAUUCCGUGCCAGCAGCCGCGGUAAUACGGGAGUGGCAAGCGUUAUCCGGAAUUAUUGGGCGUAAAGCGUCCGCAGGCGGCCUUGAAAGUCUGUCGUUAAAGCGUGGAGCUUAGCUCCAUUUCGGCGGUGGAAACUACAAGGCUUGAGUGUGGUAGGGGCAGAGGGAAUUCCCGGUGUAGCGGUGAAAUGCGUAGAUAUCGGGAAGAACACCAGUGGCGAAGGCGCUCUGCUGGGCCAUAACUGACGCUCAUGGACGAAAGCUAGGGGAGCG